rnacentral:rRNA from 1 species
AUUGAACGCUGGCGGCAGGCCUAAAACAUGCAAGUCGAACGAGUGGCGGACGGGUGUGUAAUGUAUGUGAAACUGCCCGAUGGUGGGGGAUAACUACUGGGACCGGUAGCUAAUACAGCAUACCAUCGGAUGUGCCCAGAUGGGAUUAGCUAGUAGGUGGGGUAACGGCGCACCUAGGCGACGAUCCCUAUCUGGUCUGAGAGGAUGACCAACCACACUGGAACUGAGACACGGUCCAGACUCCUACGGGAGGCAGCAGUGGUGAAUAUUGCAACAGGGGCGACAGCCUGAUGCAGCCAUGCCGCGGGUAUGAAGAAGGUCUUCGUGUUGGAAAGAGCGAUCUGGGAGGUGGCGUUAUUUGCAGAAGAAUCACCGUCUAACUCCGUGCCAGCCGCCGCGGUAAUAC